rnacentral:rRNA from 1 species
GUCGUCGCAGUCUAGACGUAGUAGUUGACUCGUCGCUACGAGAGACGCUGGCGGCGUGCUUAACACAUGCAAGUCGAACGAUGAAGCCCAGCUUGCUGGGUGGAUUAGUGGCGAACGGGUGAGUAACACGUGAGCAACGUGCCCAUAACUCUGGGAGUAACCUCCGGAAACGGUGGCUAAUACUGGAUAUCUAACGCGAUCGCAUGGUCUGUGUUUGGAAAGAUUUUUUGGUUAUGGAUCGGCUCACGGCCUAUCAGCUUGUUGGUGAGGUAAUGGCUCACCAAGGCGACGACGGGUAGCCGGCCUGAGGGGGUGACCGGCCACACUGGGACUGAGACACGGCCCAGACUCCUACGGGAGGCAGCAGUGGGGAAUAUUGCACAAUGGGCGAAAGCCUGAUGCAGCAACGCCGCGUGAGGGAUGACGGCCUUCGGGUUGUAAACCUCUUUUAGUAGGGAAGAAGCGAAAGUGACGGUACCUGCAGAAAAAGCACCGGCUAACUACGUG